GUUUACUCCCUAUAAAAUCAUUAGUUUAUCUUCAACAAUCAAAUAACAAAAUCCAAGAUAGAGUAAGGCAAAGCUAUGGGUGGCAGUAGCUUUAGAAGAUUUUUGGCGACGAUAAUGAUGUUGCUUAUGCUCUUUCUAAUUGUAUUAAAUGCCAACGAGUUCACUUUCCCUCCCUCUCUCCCACCCUCCCCUGUUUUGAAUAGUCAUCACUCUAGCCCUCAACAAGAUAUCAUAUUUGAUAUUCAUUGCUUUUGGCUUUGGGCUCCUCACUGUAUAAUAUUCCGAAGUUAUAAGGUAUUCGCAGAACCCAUGCAUAAUACCUACAAUCAUUGUAUACAUGCAGUGAAGAUGCAUUGUAGCCAUCAUUCCUGAGAUGUUUACUAUCAUUAGAUGGAGAAUUAAUAAGCAACAAGUUUGGAUCUGAGACGCCAGCUAGGUUUGAGUAAGAAGGACAUCAAGGCAGAUGCAACUGUUUGGCAUAAUGAUAUUGAUUUGGUUAUUACUUAAGGACUCAGUGCAAGAUUUGCAUGUUGCUCAUGGUAAUUAGUAAUUUAGAAAGUACUGGCUACGUACAAUUAAAGCUCUGCUUAACAACACCUCAGGAGCUUAGCUCCCGCCGCCGCCUCGGGCUCCUUGCACGCCGCCAUCCUACUCUCCAUCUUCUCUUCGCUCCUCACCAGCUGAUUCUUGGGUUUGUGGAAGUUUAUGGUUUUGGUUUUUUCAAAAUCAGAUCUGUAAUCCUCCAUGCACCUGAGCCUUCCCGCUUCUUGCCGCCGUCCUAGCUCCACCAUUUGCCCUCCACGCGCCGGUGUGUGGCCAUCACGCGCCUGUGCGUGGUUCCUCAACUCCAACGCGUGGUUUUGUCGAAUCUCGACUCCUCCUCGCUCAUUCGCCGCUACAGCUAUUUUUUGGUGUUUUCUUAUUUUUCAUGUUUUUUUUUUUUUUUUUUGUAAUUUUCUGUGUUUUUUGUUGUUUGGGUUUCUGUCUCCUUGAUUAUAUGUGGUCAAAACAAUUAGUGGAGACUUUUGUAACUAGAUCUGUGAUGGUACCUCUCUUUACUGUCCCUUCUUGGAAUUACAACGACAGUACAUUUUCAGCUUCAACCUCUUUUUGGGAGUUGUUACUGGUCCCAAGUGGGGGUUCAGAUAGGUUCGCCCUUCGAUCUUUGUGCCCCUUUUGCUUUUAUAACCACCUUGUGCGGCCUAUUGAGAUGAUCAGAUCACUUAUUUGACUCA